AUUCUGGGAAGUAGAAGACUGAGUCAGAGAGACGUUGCCAGCCGCUGCCAUGAAAAGCAAGAUAAAGAUCUUUGAAUUACCAUCCAAUGCAAUAUAAGAAGAGGAGACGUGUCUGGUCUUGUCUUUCAGCAUUUAGUAAAGAGAAGCACAAGACAGGAGUUGUGUAACCCACAGCAAGUUCUUUGGCCGAGUUUAACUUUUGGCAGCCUCUAAUUUGCAUGUGCUUUCUUUGGGAUCUUUUUAAAAGUCUGCUCAGUUUUGUCUGAUUAUGGAACAUCAUCUACAAAGGUCAAGCAGUGCUUUUGAGACUUUGAAAUGUGCCUUCAAUAGGUUAGAGAUACAUUUUUACACCUACUUCAAUUUUUAAAAACAAAUGUUCCAAUGAAAACAAAAGGAGAACCAGGAGGACAGAUCAGUGGUAAAGGAGCUUGCCACCAGACCUGAGGACCCAAAUUCAAUCCUACAACCUACAUGGAGGAGAAAAGAACUGAGAACUUCCACAUAUGCACUGUGGCAUAUGUGCACAUGCACAAGAGUGUGCACACGCGCGCGCGCACACACACACACAAACACUCUAAAUAAAUAAAUAAAUAAAUAAAUAAAUAAAUAAAUAAAUAAAUAAAUGCAUACAUACAUGUAUUUAAUUAUAAAGAUUUAUGAUGAAUGAGUUUGAAA